UGUCUUGUGUGGGGUUUUUUUUUUUUGUCUGGAGAGGUCUUGGGGGAUUUGCUUCAGCUGUUGCUGUUUGCAAGAUGGGCUGGAGUUCUAGGAAUACCACCAGCAAAUGCUGUAUCUCAGGACAUGAAUAUGUUAAAAUAGAUGGAGUAAAGUACUGUGUUGUAUGGGGUCGGUAAAGACUGGGCCUUGGGGACUGCAACUACACCUUGUCAGGGAAGGCACGUCAAAGCGGAUUCCUGCAAGAAAGCAGAACUCCAGUGCAGUGGCUUACCAUAAGAUGGCUCUUCCUUUUUGUAAGGAGAAGUUCAGAAGCAAGCCCAAGCCACAGGUUUCAGAUCAGGAUCCAGACUUCUUGAAAAUACCCUGAAGUUGGGAAGUGCUUGCCCUGGAAUGACCGUUGACUUUUGUUUCCUUAACUCUUCUUGGCUGCUACAAAUCCGGACUCCUGACCUCUCAUGCCCUCUCAACCAGCAGCUUUCCAAGCAUUGUCCUUCAGGGGUUAAACAAAGGAGCCCGAAGAGAAAUAGCCACUGAUUAACUUUGACAGCUGAAAUCCUUGAAAUUGCUAUUGAACUUGGAACCUUGUGUGCUAUUGUUCUUUGCUCCUCUGCUGGAGUUUUGCGUGAUGGUGGUUUGGAUGGAAACAUUUUUGGGCAGGUCCUUGGAAAAACAAUGGGAAAAAGCCCUUUUAAACAACCCCAUGGAAGCCAGCAAUGGCAACACUGAUGAGAAUUUACAGAUAUAAUGUCAUCCAUCUGGAAUCGAGGGGGAGACUUCCUCCCAGAUUGGUGGCAAACCUCCACCUGUCCCCUAGGGCUCAGGGAAGGAGGGACCAAACUCCUUCCAGCCAUGAGAACAAACUGGUGGUGCAGUACACCUAUGCAGGUGACAGCUGAGGGUUGAAAAUAUAACUGGAGUGAAACCGGUUGCUGUUGUCCUCGGCCUACCAGCCAGCUGCCACUUAUAAUCUUGAAAGUGUGACUUAUGGCAAGGUGUUCUACUGAGAUACUUCUCCAGUGCUAUUUCUAGUACACCUAAUGAGCACAGCGUCUGCAGAAAGGUUGCCGAACUCGGUCUGAAUGUAGAAAUCUGCUUCUGGUUGGCAAUCUGCAGCUGCUCUGAGGAUGGCACAGGGAGAAUGAAAAGGAAAGAUGACAAAACUGUACCAUCUCUGGCUGUCAGCCACUGGCAAGCAAUGUUGGCUUUGAUGUUGUAUUUAUAUUUGCUAAGUGUGUAUGAUAGAGCAGCUUUAUAAAACUCCUGUGCCAUAUUAUUUCAGCUGAUGAAGGUUGCCACACUCUGGAGAAGCUAUACCCAUAGCAGCACCCCACUGCCCAGCAUAGGUGUGUGCCUGGGUAUGAGACAGACAGACAGACACGACUUCCCCAGUGUUAGGUCUCAUGUUGCUUGCUGCAGUGGCUAACACAGAUUUGGUGAGAGUUGGAGUUUCAGCUGGCGCUGGAUGAACUGUGUAAUAAAAUAAUAAUAAACAUAAUACAAGAAUAUGAAUCCUGUAAAUCACUACUUUUUUUUUUAGGUUCAUUUAGCUCUGUGUUUCUGGCCAGCUUUUAUGCUAUAACGGUAUGGCUCACUCUUCAGCUCCCAGAGGUUCCACUAAAACUGUUGUUUCAUUUUUGAUUUACGAUCACCUUAGUGAGACAGUUCCUGUGCUAUUUCUAUUCAGAUGAGGAGUUCAUGGAAGUUGUUAUCAGAGCGUAUUACAACACUCAG